ACUCCAGGCUGGGGAUCCAACCUGCACCUCCACAGCUACCCCAGGGGCUUCAGAGACAAAGCAGGGUCUUUAACCCUCCUGUACCACAAUGAGAACUCCUUGGAUCACCUUAAUGAUCAUUAUUUUAAACUCUUUUUUGGGUAGAUUGCCUGUCUCCAUGUCACUUAGUUGUUCUGGGUUUUUGUCUUGUUCCUUCAUCUGAAACAUUUCCCUCUGCAGUCUCAUUUUGUCUAGAUUUGUGUUUGGAUUUUUAUGUAUGUGGAGAGUUAGUUAUGUUUCUCGAUUUUGGAGAAGUUGCCCUCUGUAGGGGGUGUCGUAUGUGUCUCAGCAGUACAUUCCCGUCUUCUCACUGAAGCGCCAGGGACCAGCUGGUGCCAGGCUUUCACCCCGGAGAGAGCCACAGCCACCUCCUGCCUCCCGCCUCGCCAGGAGACCCUCCAAUACUAGCAGUGAACAGGAACCCUUCAUUAUCCAUGCUUAGAGAAGACUGGACUGAUUAACAUAUGCUCGUCAAUGAAUCCUCAGCAACUAGCAUAGUAGCUAGACCGAACCUGGUCUACCACUUGGAAGACUACAGACUAGUGGAUUAAAUGCGCCCUUUUUUGAGCCAUGAACUGUGGAAACAAAUCUCAGCUGGUGAUCAGAUAGAGUUGCUCAUGUGGAUGUCUGUAACAAGGUGAGGUGAAUAUGGUAAGGUAAAGAAGGUAAGUUAUGGUAAGGUAAGGUAAAGAAUUACACAUUUCUGAUGCAUUACUUUAUGCUAAACUUGUGUCUUGCCAAAAGUUGACCCAUUUGACUCACAAGUGGAAGGACACUUUGUAGGAGUCAUUGCCCCUACACCUUCUGGCAACUUGACUACAUGGAAUCUUUGAUUCCUCUCUGAAGGCCAUCUGUGUACUUUCACCACUUUUCUUGGUCACAGUGUUGCUGUUUCAGUCUAAUCAGCUAAAUCUGGCCAGCUAACUAUGACUCUUAAAUCUAAAAUGUGUCAUGUUCCACUUUCCAAACCAUCUAGAACCUGACAGUGGUUUGCCUUGUCCUAAAGGCCACCGGUGAAUAGGCUAAUGAUCAAGACAUUUGAUGUACACUCAUGGCCCUUAUCUUCAGGCUGCUGGAAUCAUUGAGAGGUAGAGUGCAGUUUUUGAACAUCAUUUAAAAACUAUUUCUGACUCUAUUAACCUUAUUCUUUUCUGGUAAGACAGUUUGAUCACUGAAUGUGGCCACCUCAGAAUGGGUUGAUCUCCUCUUGGCUUCCUCCUGGGUAAUGAUCAGAGGAAAGGGGAGGGGAAAUAUAUAAAACUAUUUUGAAAAUUCAGUAUUCUUCCCUGGCCAUUUCCAGGUAUGAUGUGUCUUUCUCCUAUGAGUAACUUCAGGUAGGCCUGAUUGGUACACCCUCUGGGUCACAGCCUGGCCGAAAAGGAAGCUAGGAGAUUCAAACAUAAUUCUGUUGCAGCAUCCUGGAUUCUAGAAACAUGAAUGUCUGUGGAAACAUCCUCCAGGGCACUCUGAAUCACUGCUGGAGAAUAUGGGGGCAAGGGAAUGAAGCACUUGUUGAUGUUCACAUGCUAUUGGCUGCAUUGUGAGUAAUAAAGUCCUUUAUUUCUGACCUUGGAGUCUUGUGUCUUCUACCAGCAUUCAUGAAAAAGUAACAGACUAACAUAAUGGCUUGUGAGAAAGGUAAAAUCAAAUCUUAAACUGGCGUACACAUGAAUCUGAUGUUCAUCAGAAGCUGAAAAGCACUGAAUUUGGUUGUGAAUCAAAAGAGAUUAAAUAUCCCCUGAAAACAUAAACCAUGCCAACUUUUUUUUUGAUCACUACAUAAGAUCUGCCUGGUUUGUUCUGAGUUUAUGCUACUUAAAUGUCAAUUAACUGAAUUGUACCAAGCCAUUAUUUUAAAAAGAGUACCUGCAUUACAGUGUAGGAUUUCGGGUACACAAAUACUAUUUGAUUCAUUCAAUAUAAAAUAUAUGCAUAUGCAAGAGAAAUAUCAUCCUGUUCUAUAAACCAUUAUAACUGUAUAAUUGUUACAGUGUUAAUUUUUUAUUUUAAAGGAGUUAUGUAUAAUGAUAUCAUUUUAUUGAAUUCAAGGAAAUAUUUCACGUUAGUUUAAAAAUUAGCCCUUAGAUAUCACAUCUUCCAUUUUUUAUACAUUACAUAACCAUUUAAUAGUGAACUUUACUGAAAAGUUUCUAGUUAAAUUAAAAGAACUAAGGAAAUGAAUUUUUUCAGCAAACUGUCAACUCAAGGACAGCUUUUCUGAAUCUCUUAUAUUCUACUUUUCAUUUUUAACUAUCUUUUUUUUCCCUAGCUGGUUCUUUGUAAAUCCAGUGAGACUCAAAAAUAUCAACUUACCAUUUAUUUCCAAAAAAUAAAAUAUCCUUUCCUAAUAUUGCAAUGAAUGCUAUUACUACAGACAUGAUUGCAUCAUAAGUAUCUACAAAAGGAGACACAGAGAUCACCAUAAAAAUUGUAUGUCUUUUGUGUGUGAUGAGAAGGUAACAUUUGAGAAUGUUCAUUGAUGCUGCCUUUGGCUGACAAAAGUAAUGAAUUCCAGCAUGCAUCUAGUCACAGAAUACAAAGGUUACUCAGAUGUGUGUGUGUAUGUGUUUGCAUGAGAUGAAUAUCAGCUUCCUGCGUAGAAAUGUGAUUUAAGAGUAAAGCGAUGGAUUUCCUUUGCCUCUUUAAUCCUCAACCACAACUAACAUUUUCUGAACUGCAAAUCUUUUUUUAGGCUAUCAUAAUCACUACAGUGUUAAAUCCAGAGUUUUGCACACCCUACACUUAUAUUUCACCUUCCAAAUUCAAAACUGAUGAAAAUAUAAUAAAAGUUAUAUUAAUUGGACUAUAAUGUAUGUAUUUUAUGAGAAGUCUUUCUACUCCUAAUGCAACUCUAGUUUAAGUGAUAGGGAAUAUCUCAUUUCAUAGGGAUAUUCCACGCAUAAUUUUCAUGAUAUGCUACUUUACCUUGAUAUUACCUCAAUUUUUUUUUUUUUUUCCAGUGAAACAUAAUCUCAGAACCUUGAAGUAAGGGAGGGAGAUAGUCCAAUGUAGUAAAAAAUUAUCUAAACUCUUGCAUUCCAACUAUACUUCUCCCAGUGCUCCCAUUUAAUCACUAGUUGAAAUAUGCUUGUUGUAAAUUUCAGGGCUUUUUUUUAAGUCUUAGUUUGAAAGUACUAGGAAGUUCAAAUCUCAUGAGUCAAUUUCAUAUCCUGCCAUAGUAAAUAGAAUCCUAUAUUGAAUCUCUUAAAUACAAGAAAGGUCAGUUUUACUGUAAAUAUCAUGUCUGUCAUUGAGACUAGACAUUGCUUAGAUACUGACAGAUGUAGUUGCUCACUUAUAAGCUUCCUUAGAUUAGUUUUUUUAGUCUUAAAGUCUAUUUCUCUUUAGUAUGAAUUCUGAUCCAGUAACAAGAGAUCUAAGCAGAUGACUCUUUUAUGGUGAGCCAGAGUUAGAGAGCUCUGAGGAAUGAAUUCAGCCUGUUACCUGGGAGCUGUGUGACCUUCAGCAAAUUACUCAAUAUCUCUGAGCUUGAGUUUCUCCAUUUACAGAAUGAGGAUUUAAGGUCAUUGUGAGAAUUAUAGGAGAUAAUUAUAUAAAUUACCUGGUAAAUAGUAAGCACUAAAUAAAUGACUGCUAGGGUUAUGUAACACUCCCACUUUAGUUUUUUAUUCACUCCAAUGAACACACUCUGCUUCCAUUGUUACCUAAAGAAAUCUUACCUCUCUUGUAAAUUGUAUCUCAAAUUCAACUCUUCUUUUGAAACGUUUCAAAAUGUCCAGAGAUGGAAGUGAUAGCUCUACCCUCUGAAGCUCUUCAAUACCUCUUAUAGGUAAAAGCAAAAUGAAAAGGAAUCACAUUCUUGUUUAAAGUUAUAUGUCACACUGUUGUUUUCUUAAUUAUGUACUUGAUUGUUAAAACUAUUAAAUCCACACAUUAGCCACAGGAGCACUGAAGACAGUGCAUAGCACUUAGAACAGAGGUUCCUGUAAGAUUUAUUUAAUAAAUAUAUGUUCAGACAAUGGAUAUGUGGAUGCAUAUAGCAAACCUGGGUUUCUGUGUCUAAUUGUGUUAAUAUAAAUUAUUCUUCAAUUAUGAAAUAUAUCUUUGUAUGUUUCCCAUAUACAGAAUUUUAAUACUUAGCAUAUGUGGUUCAUUUAGGUGAAAAUAAAGGGCAAGGCUGAAAAUGUUUGUGACUAUAAAGAAAUAAAAGAUCUUUUUUUACGUUAAAAUAAAUGAAUAUAAAUAGUUCAUACAACUUAAGAUUUAAAAAAAAAACCCAAUUAAAAAACGGGCAGAAGACCUGAAUAAACAUGC